CCUCCCAGGUGGGGGGUUGGAACUGGAUGAUCUCUAAGGACCCUUCCAACCCAAACCAUUCUAUGAUUCUGUGAUCUCAAAUGGCUCAGCUACUUGGAGAUGUAUUCUCUUACCUCUCCGAAACCACAAAGAAAUGCACUGGAGUAUGGUGUACCAUUGCAAGUGCUACCAAUUUCUUGGGUCUGGCUUACAGAAUAAAUUGCUCUCAUGUAUUUGCUAAAUUCAAAAUCUUGUUAAAGGGAAAAUAAGCACAUCUUAUUCACAAACAAGGAGUUGUUAUUCUAAUAUGUCUUAAAAGAUUAGUCAAAGUAUAAUUAUUAGUCCAGUUACAAUAUUAACACUUAUGAUUAAAAUCAUGUACAAAUUAGGUUAGUAUAUACAAACAGUGUAGUAUCUCCUUGUUACUGUAAUCCUGUGUUUCUGGGUCCUAAAACUGGUGGUUUUGGUUCAGGGAGAGGGAAGGAUUACAGCCAGAUAUCAGCAUCAUAAGUAAGACUGUGGUGUUCAUGAUUCCUUCUUCCUCUCUUUUCAGUCUGCCCGAAGUAAUUUUAAACGUUUUUAUAAUAUGCUCUAUGCCUUUUGUUAUUGUUGUUGUUGUUUGUUUGUUUGUUUUGUGUUUUUGUUUUUGUUUGGUUUGGUUUUGGCUCACAUUUCCACAAUACAUAUGAAUUUACUGGGCAUUUACUUAUUUUACUUAUGUUAGGUACUUGUUCACUGUUCUUGUUGUUGUUGUUAUCCUUAAAAGUAUCUUUACCCUGCUCCUAAAUUACAUUUCUUUUAAUGACCAUUAACAGACCACUGUUAAGUCGUUUAUAGCCCCAGGGCCUCUGGUAUCAUCCUGUGUCCACAGCUGAAACAUCACCCUGUUCCAGUUCUCCUUUGUUUGCAUUUUUUUCUAGGGCCAUUAAUAGCUCAUUCUGUGUUGAAUAGCUGCUUGCUAUUACCCCAUACAUUCAUUUACAGGCUAAAAUUGGGCAGGUAAUAGUUGCUUGGUAAUUGGAUAACUGUUGUCAGUUAAACAAGCCUGAAUAUAACUCCGGCUAGGCCAAAACAAGUCAAGACAGAGCCUGAUAGGUUGAUAGGUUCUGAUUCCUGGGCCAUUACAAGCAACACCGAUAUACUGGGCAACAAAUGUAUAAUCCCAAAGUCUUUGCUUUAAGUGUCAAGGCAAGAAUGAAGAAGGUACACAGAAUUUUGUUAGCACUGAAACAUCUACAGUACAGGACACGGAACCAAAUAGACAUGUACUUAUAGUUUUUCAAUGGUGGAAAAGAGUUAUAAAGAAAUAGAAUAACAAAACACAUUGCCAUAACCAUACUUAAAAGAAACAUCUUAAAUACUCUAGUCUUUCAGGUUGGCUCUGAGUCUGUUGGGUUAGUUUCAGUGAGCUAUUCCCAGGCUGUCAUCCUUGAGAGGGUUCUUGGAGAUGAAUGAUUUCUACUUGAACUGUUCAUGUUGGUUAGAGAAGCUGUUUGGAGCAGUUUCUUCUUUGGCCCAUAAUCAAAGAUCUACUAUUUUCUCUCUUACUUGUUUACUACUCACCGUUUUCCUCUGUGAGAACACCAAGACAUAAUACGGUGCCAAGAGGAUCAUGCAAUCUCUUUUCCCCAUCCUCCUGAAAUUUACUUGAUUAACAUUUUUAUUGCAUAUCUUAAUUAGUGCAUUCCUAGCUUUAGGCAUCAGGCUGCUUUCUCCUGCUUACAGCCUUGCUAGAAUUCAUUGAUUUUAUUUUACAGAUUCUACAGCAUGGGAAAUAUUAAUGGUACAAAAUCCUUUCAGUAUUUAAAUAUUUGGUUUGUUUCAACUUUAUAUAAGGGCCAUAAAAACAUGUAAAAAUUAUUUGAGAAUUAGCAUUUGAGAAGGAACUUCAUUUACACUACAUUAGAUUUCAGGAAGCUCAUUUAUAUUGGAAAAAAAAAAAAAAAAAGUUGUACAUCUUUAAAUACAGGCAAAUAUAAAGGAAUACAGUUAGUAGCAUUGUUCCUUUACUAGCUCAAUUAUUGGAAAUGUAGGUAUUUCUUUGCCUAGGACCAGAAAGCUGUGUCAAAAUACUUCCAGAUCUGCAGAAAACACAAAUGGAAAGGAUGUAGUCUCUUCUUUUUAACUGACAGUUGAGUGGUUAUAAAACUCACUGUAGAAUGGUAUUUCAGGUACCUGGGAACAUUUCCCAAACCUGAUGGAGUUUGCUAAUCACCAUAUUACAGCAUAUUCUGAUUCAGGGCUCUUGUGGUCUGUCUUGCUAAAUCCUUUGUGCUUUUUAUAAAAUGCUUAAAUAUUUUUGAUGGAGCAGAGACUUGAAUUCUACCCUGAAAACUGUGUUAUCAUUAUAUUAGUUGUCGUUCUUGCAUGGUCUGUUUCUUCUUCCCCCAGAUAUUUCACGAUUCAGAGCACAGAGGAACAGUUUCAACAGGAUGCUUCAGUAUUUUGAAUAGGUUGGAUUGAGUUGGUCCCUGGUGCAUGGUAACUUCUGGACACUCUGUCCUCAGAAAGAUUCCUUGUGGUGGGGAGAGACCCUUCAUGCCUAAUGUGUGAUUGCGAAUUCCAUCAAGUAGCAGGUUAAUUACAAGCUGUCCAGUGCAAUGAAAUUCUUGUGGAUUGAGCCUAAUGUUAACAGGAGUUUAAGGCCUACACUAGACAUCUAAGAAAAUGAGCCUGCUAGCUGGAUUCUGUGCCUGGAAUUAAUCAAUCAUCCAUAUGUUGCUCCUCUCCUCAUCACUUUAAGGAGUCAGGAAUUCAUUGUACUUCAUAUAUCACACACAGUCGGAGUGGAACAGUAAGUAUACAUGUAUAAUUUUCCACUGCUUAAAUACACUUUUUGUUGUAAAUUGAAAACCUUCAGCUUCUUUAACUUUCCAUACAGACAGACAAAAUGAUCAGCAGUUUAGUCAUCCAGAACUAUGGUGGGUUCCUUCAGAAUUAUAUUUCCUGUUUACUUGUCUGGUGCCUGUAAGCUGCUAUUAUUGAGUGAGGUGAUACAGACAUUGCUCUCUUCUCUCUUUCCCCAGAGAUGUAGUGAAAUCCAUGAUUUUCACAGGUAGGAGUAUUACAGAUUGUCCUCCUCCCCCUUUUUUUCCCCUGUGACUAUAACGAUAAUUUUGUAGAUAUAGCAGGCAUCAUCAGUAUAUUCUAGAUAAAAAGGAAAUGAAAUUUCAGAGAUGGAUGCAGUGUUCAUAUAUAUAUACCUAUAUAUUUAUGUGUAUAUACUGAAGGAUACACAUGAAAGUAUUGCUAAUAAUUCUACACACAACUCUUUACUUUUUAA